rnacentral:lncRNA from 1 species
UGCGAUGUGUGUGGUGUGUGUGUAGAGUAUGUAUGUUUUGGGUUUGUGUAUGUGGAGUGUAUGUGUGGAUUGUGUGCCUGUGUGUAUGGGGUGUGUGUGGCGUGUGUGUAGAGUGUAUGUUGGGAUGUGUGUGUGGAGCGUGUGUGUGCACGUGUGUGUAUGUUUGUGUGUGUGUGUAGUAUGUGUGUAGUUUGUGUGUGUGUAUUUUUGGAUGUGUGUGUAUGGGUGUGUGUGUAAUGUGUGUGUAGUUUGCGCAUGUGUGUGUUUAUUUGGGUGUGUGUGUGUGGAGUGUGUGUGCAUGUUUGGGUGUGUGUCUAUUGUGUGCAUGUGUAUGUAUAUUGGGGUGUGUGUGUGUGGAGUGUGUGUGUACGUGUAUGUUUGGGUGUGUGUGGAGUGUGUGUGCGCGUGUGUGUGUAUGUUUGGGGUAUGUGUGUGUAGCGUGUCUGUGUGUGUGUUUGGAUGGGGAACGUUAUAAAGAGCACCAUUCUCAAAGCGCAGGGAAUUCGCGAGCCCUGGGGAUCGCUGGUCUACUUCCUAAGCAGCAAGGAAUGUUAUGCAUUUCAGCGCUUGCUAAGUCAGUGCGUCCUCAGAGAGGGCUUGCAGGCUCCAGGGAGGCCUGCAUAAGGAGUGAGGCCUGGGCCAAGCCCAACAGAAAGUGUCAAAUAACAGGCCUGCCCCUUCCCCACCCUCCACCCCCAGAUUUGGGCUGAAUCAAAGGGCCAUUCAAGCCCCUCCCUUUCACAGAUCCACAUUGUAUUUUCACAAAUACAUGUGAGAUUUUCCACGAGAUUCUGCAAGAAUUUCCCUGUGAGUCCUUUCUUGAGUUCCAAAGUUGGGUAAUGAUGAAACAGAAGAGUUCCCUGACCCCUCUCACAGGACGUGAAACAAGGGUGUGGCUUGUCUGUUAGAUUGCUGACACCACUCAAACCCCUUACAGGAUGGAAAGCAUGCAGAUGGGCAGGUGCAGGAGUCCAAGUGGGCACGUGUUACAAUGUGCUCUUUUAGCCGUCUGCGAAUGGCUUGAGUGUUAGCGAGCAAGGGCAGAGGGCCAGUGUGACAGCUUUAUGUAUCCCAAGCUCUUGUCCAGCAUCCUGGAAGAACUGGGUCACACAUGCACUUGAAGGAUAAAUGUGGGGGUCUUACUGAAUGGCGGAGGUGGCUCUCAGCAGGAUGGAUGGAGAACCUGAAGGGAGGACGGAGUAGGAAGAUGGGCUUCUCCUGGAGUUUGGCCUUCCGGCAGCUGAACCGCCCCGGGCUAAACUCUUAGUGUUGAGACAUUCCUCCUCUUCUCUCUUUCUGCCGCAGCAUUUUGACAUUCCUCUGCUUGUCUCCUUGUCUGCCCAUCUGCUUCUGGAACCUGGGGGUUUGGGGUUUAUAUGGGUACAGGAUAGGGGGGCAUGGCGGGCCAAAAGGCAAAUUUUGCAUUCAAAAACAGAAAUGCCUGUUUCCAUUUAGGGCCGAGGGUCUCUGGACUUCAGGGUGGGGCCUUUGCCAGGGAACCACCCUCUUCUACCCAGUAUUUCCCUGUCUCCUAUCCAUAUCAAUGAGGCUUUUCCUGUUUUCUAAAAUGCUUCAGUUAUUCACUAGUCUAGAAGUUAAAAUCAUUAGAGUUGUUGCUUGUUAACCUACUCUAUGGAUCCUCUCUCUUGUCUUGAGAUCAGAAACCAUGGCUUUUCACUAUGAAUCCCCAGACCUGGCAAAGUCCUUGCCCUACAGAGGUGACUGUUUUCCAAAAAUAGAAACAGCAGUAUUUCCAGUUUCACAUGUUUUUCCACAAACUUUCCAUUUCCCAUCAUGAGGCAGAAUCUAUUCGUCUUCUCCAGAGACUCAGGAUUGGGGAAGGGCUGACUCCGUGACUGUCUUGAUAAUUGGAAUGCUACAGAUUGCUUGACUUCCAAGGCUAUGUUAUAAAAAGCAAUUAGGCUUCUGCCUGCAGCUCUCUCCCUAGGGAUGUUCACCCUUGAAACCAGCCACUGGGUUAUGAGGAAGCCUCAACUAGCUCAUGUGGAGGGUGAAAGAUGCCCCCAGCCAACAGCCAGCUUCACCCACCAGGAUAGAUGAGUGAAUUAAUGAGCCUUCAGUUGAUCCCAUCCUCCAGUUCUCAAGUCUUCCAGCUGAAUCCUCAGACAUUGCAGAGCAGAGACGGGGUAUCCUUGGUGUGCCAUGGCCAAGUCUUAACCCACACAGUUGAGUCU